AACAACAAAAAUUGAGUGUGAAAGUGGAAGCUACUUACUUGCGGCAAGGAGGUGUUUGCCGGAUUUUGUGUUGAAGUGGCCAUGGGAUCUUACCUCGACGAGAAGAGCUUACCGUAUAACUCGGUUUCUUUCACAAACAGAGAGAAACAUGUUCAUAACAAUAUUGAGAUUAAGAGUGAAAUUGACUUACCUACGGCGAGGAGAGUUUCGCCGGAUUAUCGUUGAGGUAUGUGUUGACUCCUCUAUUGUUACUAACAAUCUUAAAUUGUUACUAACAAUUUCUCUAACAACCUUGCUUGU